CGCACUUUUACCGCCUGAAUUUUGAAAACAGUGAUAGUUGCAGUGAAAUAUUUAUCUCGAUUCAGAUUCCAGAACAAAGAAAAAGAAUCUUGUAUAAAAAUCCACAGAUCCAAUGUGUGAACAUGUGUCUGAGGUUGUGGAAUGCAUUGCAGUUACAAUACUUACAAUAGACAGGAAACCAACACAAGACCAGCUGAUGAGAGGGCAGAAAACCAAAACUUUGAAUGCCAUGUAUACAACCAACACAAGACAAGAAUUUGGAAUAAAAUUUCAAAAAAUCAGAAACAUACUAUUAUUUUAUUAUUGGUUCAUGUACAUAAGAAAAAAGAAGUCCUAACUUUUGGAUAGGUCUUUCUCUGGUUGGUCAAUGGAAAAAAGCAACAGUUAGUUUGAUUGAAUUUCAGUUAUUUUCUUCAUUUUGGGAUAUUUUUAGAAGUGUGUAUAAGUUGGUGGUGUGGUCUAGUGGGAUGGCUGCUGUGCAGGCAAUUUGGUGUCACGAUAUCAUAGUAGCAUGAAAUGAAUCUCGGCGAGGGAAGAACAAAUAAUUUGUGAAAGCAAAUUUACAGACCUAACAUUGUUAGGUUGAUGUUUCGACGAGUUGUAAAAGUUGUGUAGAAAUAUAUAUUUGUAAACUACAGACUUUGGGGACUUUUCCAAACAUUUUUCGUAGCCUUUUCUUGUGUAGGGAAUCCAGCUGAAUUAUUCUACAGUAAAUAUUAAGGUAUAUGUGGUAGUUUUUUGUACUUCUGAAUAAUUCAUUAAAAAUGUUUCCAUUGUCAAAAUGAAAUCUACAUUCUAGAAUUUCCACCAUCAUAAAGUGAAAUUAUUAGUCUAGGACACUGAAACCCUAAACAUUUAGAAGUUGCAGCAUGUACCAAAGUGUCAUGUUGAAGGCUGUACAUUUACCAUAAUUGCUAACAUAUUUAAUAUUUGAUUUUAGGAAAGAGGGUUGUCUCAUUGGCCAUCAUACAAAAUCUCGCCUUUUGAAUAGUAUUAUGUGUUAAAUUUUUGAAGGAAAGUUGCUUUUGUUAAAUGGAAAUGUGUAUAUCUUGUACUUCAGUAUUGCAACAAAUAAAACUUAGACUUUAACCUUAAA